rnacentral:rRNA from 1 species
UGAACGCUGGCGGCAUGCCUUACACAUGCAAGUCGAACGGCAGCAUAGGAGCUUGCUCCUGAUGGCGAGUGGCGAACGGGUGAGUAAUAUAUCGGAACGUGCCCUAGAGUGGGGGAUAACUAGUCGAAAGAUUAGCUAAUACCGCAUACGAUCUACGGAUGAAAGUGGGGGAUCGCAAGACCUCAUGCUCCUGGAGCGGCCGAUAUCUGAUUAGCUAGUUGGUGGGGUAAAAGCUCACCAAGGCGACGAUCAGUAGCUGGUCUGAGAGGACGACCAGCCACACUGGGACUGAGACACGGCCCAGACUCCUACGGGAGGCAGCAGUGGGGAAUUUUGGACAAUGGGGGCAACCCUGAUCCAGCAAUGCCGCGUGAGUGAAGAAGGCCUUCGGGUUGUAAAGCUCUUUUGUCAGGGAAGAAACGGUUGCAGCUAAUAUCUGCGACUAAUGACGGUACCUGAAGAAUAAGCACCGGCUAACUACGUG